AGAACCUUUUCUUCUCUCUUUUUCCUCUUCCGAAUUUUUUCUUACCCAAGUUAUAUUAAAGAUCAUGAGAAGAACAUCGUUUAUGUUUGUUCUGAAGAACGGAAACCAUUAUAGUCACUUCUUCUUUGAUCGUUCUUAUUCAACUAUAUUUCGUUGAUGUUAGGGUUAUAACUAAUUGUUCUUGUGAGAAUUCUUUUUUUUUUUAGUUUCUGCAAUUUCAGAAGGAGCUAUUAGAAGACCGAUUGAUCAUCAAUAAUGGUUCACAAGGAUUCUAAGUAUGUCUUCGUUGAGAGGAGGAACUGGAGUUGGAAAACAGAUGUAUGUCUUCAUUGUGUGCAUGAAGUGUCUCACUUAAUAAUUACUGGACGAUUUUUGUUUUUAUGAUCUUAUGUAUGUUGGUACAUUUCUUGUCGGUAUGGAUGCAGUUCAUUUGGUUAUAAAGUCAGAGAUAAAGUUAAUCGAAAUGAUUGUCUUUCUCACUGAAUUAGAGUUGUCCUUCAAGGUGAUGGACCUCUCUAUGGAUAUGCGGUGGACUUGUUUGCUCAAAGUUUUCUUGUUGCUGUUAGCGAUGGAUGGUAUCGAUGAAUGUACACUAGAUUAUUUGUCCAUGGAUUUGUGGUGAUGUUCUCAAGCAUUGGGAACUUGUUAAUAGUUGUUUGUUGUUCUUUAAGUGUUGGCUCAGUUCAUCAUCUGGUAGGAUCUCGUUUUGCUGGUUCACAAAACAUAGUUCAGGCCUUAUUUUCUUUUUCUUUUGUGAUUCCGAAUCUAAGUGUAAAUAGAGUUCAGUUAUGAAUUGUGUAACAAAUACAAUGGGUUUUAUUCAACCAUUUGAAUUUAUAAAUCCAAGUUUUA